CACAUGUACCCACACACCAUGUCCUUAGAAUUCCAAAGAAACAUGUGCUAUCAUACCGUGUAAAGUACCCCUGUACUCCAAGACCCAGGACACCAUAUUGUUCCCAGACUAUUAACCAGUUUAAUGAUAUCCAGUGUUACCGUAACCCUCUGUCAGUGGUUCCAUCCAAAAUCAGUUGAGCUGGGCAAAUACAACUGCUGUCAUCACCUGAAAAUUUGCUGAGAAAGAGUUCAG